UUGAAAGAACCCAACGCAGUCAGGCAAUUUCUUCAAACUACCCAGAAUGCAACGCUCCAGCUUUUCAAAUUGCAGGAAGGCGCGAGGAGUAAACAGACUAGUUCGCCUGCAAGAAAUGUACCACGUGAUGCAGUAGCCUGUUGAUGCUGGCAAAAGAUGCAAUCUGGAGGAUUUCAGGAGAUGGCUCUUGCUCACUGGCAGUGACUUGGGUCAUGUGAGACAGCAUCAGAGCUCGGGUGACAUCUCUCGCUCGGGUGAAAUCUCUCCUGGAAGAUUUCAAGGUGUGUGCAGAGUUCUGAAGAAUAAAAGUCAACAGUCAAGUUCUUCUCCAUAUUCUCCAAAUCUGAUGGAGGCGUUCCAUCAGGAAAGGGGGAAUGGUUGGUCGAUGCCUCCAGAAUAAUGAUACCCAUGACCCAGGCACAACAUGCUGACAGGGAAUCGGCUAUGGCAGAAAGCAUCCAUGCCAUCUACGUGAUCCGCCAUGAAGGUUCAGAAGCUACUGACAGUCCUGAGGACAUCGGAAUCAUUUUCAAAGGGGUGACUGCAUUUGGCUGCUUGCCAAACAUCCUACCCAGGCUCCGCCCUCGCAGUGACGCAACACCUUCGGCUCUGCUACACACACUCAGGAAAACUUUGUUCAGGUACUUUCGGGUUCCCUCCACAGCAGGAAACUCCACCCACUUUGUCGGGAAGCAAUCGACUUUCAGCAUCACCAACCGUCCUGGCUAGAGGCGUGUUCAAGGAAGUGACAAGGUUUGAGCAGAGACGCUCUAUUGGGACUAAGAAAAUGUUUGGUUUAAACUUUGGCUCAGCCUGUUCGGCCCUCGACCAGUAGCAAAUCACGAGAGUUGGGUCAACCAUGCCGUUUGAGAAUGUUGUUAUGCUCUUGGUCAGACCAAGUCUCGAAGAGAUUUGUAAGUCAUGAUAAUCAGGUUACAAAUAUUCACUUACAGUGGCCAUAUUUCUUGCACUAAACUUGUUAUCCUCCUUGAAAGUUGUGUGUGUGUGUGUGAGUAAUAAUGCAGACAUGAUAAUAACAAUUGACUAGAAGUACAAAUACACAUUUCUACAUUAUUGCUCACACACAGCUUUUGGUAAAACAUUGCUGAAAUGGCCAAACAACUUUAUGCAUUUUCUAAUAAAGAGUCAUUGCAUUGAGCAGAUCAUUGAGAGGCCCUGAAGUCCACUACACUAUUCUUAACUUGUG